GGUCCUGUGUCAUUCCUUAAGACACUGAGUAGAGUGAGGGUCUUAUUGCCAUUGGAGAGCUGUAGCCUGGAACUGACCGGGAGGCUCUGAUUGUUUACCCACCACAGACCAGGAUCUCCCCUCUGGGCUGCAGAUGCCUAAGAAGAAAGGAACUGAACCAACUCUGGUAUUGGGGUCCACAGAUGCCAAAUACGGCCCCUGGAGUAGAGGAGAAGUUGAGGCUGUGGUUGAAGACACAUCUCCUGUAACUGAUUUGCCAGUUAUGGUCUGUGUGACCUUGAUACAGUGACUGUAUUUAUUGCCACGUGGCUCAGUUUCCCCUCAGACCUCAGAAAAACAGUAUAAAUGGUUAAAGGUU